AUUUCAGAUCUAAGUCAUUUUCAUAAAAUUGGGUUCGGGCUUAAGUAGCUCAAUUAGGUCUAGCGGUUGAUCAAACUGAAUCAAAAGUUGGUUAGGUGGGAUCAUGAAAGCUAAUAAUUGACCAGCCUAAUAGGAUUAAGUCUAGGUCAAGGUCGAAUCAUAUUUAGAUGUGACUCGAUCAAGUUAAGACCUAAUUUGGCUC
rnacentral:lncRNA from 1 species